rnacentral:rRNA from 1 species
GAGCGGUAGAGAGAAGCUUGCUUCUCUUGAGAGCGGCGGACGGGUGAGUAAUGCCUAGGAAUCUGCCUGGUAGUGGGGGAUAACGCUCGGAAACGGACGCUAAUACCGCAUACGUCCUACGGGAGAAAGCAGGGGACCUUCGGGCCUUGCGCUAUCAGAUGAGCCUAGGUCGGAUUAGCUAGUUGGUGAGGUAAUGGCUCACCAAGGCGACGAUCCGUAACUGGUCUGAGAGGAUGAUCAGUCACACUGGAACUGAGACACGGUCCAGACUCCUACGGGAGGCAGCAGUGGGGAAUAUUGGACAAUGGGCGAAAGCCUGAUCCAGCCAUGCCGCGUGUGUGAAGAAGGUCUUCGGAUUGUAAAGCACUUUAAGUUGGGAGGAAGGGCAUUAACCUAAUACGUUGGUGUCUUGACGUUACCGACAGAAUAAGCACCGGCUAACUCUGUGCCAGCAGCCGCGGUAAUACAGAGGGUGCAAGCGUUAAUCGGAAUUACUGGGCGUAAAGCGCGCGUAGGUGGUUCGUUAAGUUGGAUGUGAAAUCC